CACGAACCGGACGAACGUUAUUCGGAAUUAUUGGGCUUAAAGGGUGCGUAGGCGGUGCGGUAAGUGCGGUGUGAAAUCCCUCGGCUCAACCGAGGAAUUGCGCUGCAUACUGCCGUGCUGGAGGGAGACAGAGGUAAGCGGAACUGAUGGUGGAGCGGUGAAAUGCGUUGAUAUCAUCAGGAACACCGGUGGCGAAAGCGGCUUACUGGGUCUUCUCUGACGCUGAGGCACGAAAGCUAGGGUAGCGAACGGG
rnacentral:rRNA from 1 species